AUUUUUUGGCGGGCUUUUAGAAAUGACGUUUUCAAGGAGGAGGCAAAUGUAUGGUGCACGCGGCAGGUGUGUGAUGCGGAAGGCAGCGGUUGUUGUGCAGAUUCAUCAGUGCUCUAGCAUCUUUAACCAUUCUCUCUCUGGCAUCCACAAAAGCUUUGGCAAACUUGAUACCAUAAUUGAUGUUGUCGCUACAGCCGCCCCAGUCAAAGUCUCCUUCUUCAUCUCUCGCCCGGCCUCUCCUGUGGGUGUCACAACCGCAGAUCUUCAGCUCUCCUUGACUGCACGCUCUGGUGAUGGCAUAAACCACGCCGGCAGAGGAGAUUGCAUAAACGAAUGCUGCUUCACGGCUACCUGAUGGAGGAGAAAACGUGCUGCAGUUCCAGCGGUGGUGUCGGAACUGGUGCUGGCAUUCUCGGAUCCACUCUUUGGCUCCCUCUCCGAUGGAUUGCAUGAGAUCUGGGUGUCUUUGGCAGAGCUGCCUCUGCUUGUUCACCAGCCCUG